rnacentral:rRNA from 1 species
GUCCUGGCCUUAAACGAUGGAUGCUUGGUGUCUGGGGUUUAUAGUCCCCGGGUGCCGCAGCUAACGCGUUAAGCAUCCCGCCUGGGGAGUACGGUCGCAAGACUGAAACUCAAAGGAAUUGACGGGACCCGCACAAGCGGUGGAGCAUGUGGUUCAAUUCGACGCAACGCGAAGAACCUUACCUGGGCUAGAAUGCCUCUGACAACUCCAGAGAUGGAGCCUCUUAGGGAAACCUAGGCAGAGUGCAAGGUGCUGCAUGGCUGUCGU